CAGUCGACGGCAGCGCGGGGCAACCUGGCGGCGAGUGGCGAACGGGUGAGUAAUAUAUCGGAACGUACCCAAGAGUGGGGGAUAACGUAGCGAAAGUUACGCUAAUACCGCAUACGAUCCAAGGAUGAAAGUGGGGGACCUUCGGGCCUCAUGCUCCUGGAGCGGCCGAUAUCUGAUUAGCUAGUUGGUAGGGUAAAGGCCUACCAAGGCGACGAUCAGUAGCUGGUCUGAGAGGACGACCAGCCACACUGGGACUGAGACACGGCCCAGACUCCUACGGGAGGCAGCAGUGGGGAAUUUUGGACAAUGGGCGCAAGCCUGAUCCAGCAAUGCCGCGUGAGUGAAGAAGGCCUUCGGGUUGUAAAGCUCUUUUGUCAGGGAAUAAACGGUUCUGGAUAAUACCUGG
rnacentral:rRNA from 1 species